rnacentral:rRNA from 1 species
AUUGAACGCUGGCGGCAUGCCUUACACAUGCAAGUCGAACGGCAGCACGGAGCUUGCUCUGGUGGCGAGUGGCGAACGGGUGAGUAAUAUAUCGGAACGUACCCUAGAGUGGGGGAUAACGUAGCGAAAGUUACGCUAAUACCGCAUACGAUCUAAGGAUGAAAGUGGGGGAUCGCAAGACCUCAUGCUCGUGGAGCGGCCGAUAUCUGAUUAGCUAGUUGGUAGGGUAAAAGCCUACCAAGGCAUCGAUCAGUAGCUGGUCUGAGAGGACGACCAGCCACACUGGAACUGAGACACGGUCCAGACUCCUACGGGAGGCAGCAGUGGGGAAUUUUGGACAAUGGGCGAAAGCCUGAUCCAGCAAUGCCGCGUGAGUGAAGAAGGCCUUCGGGUUGUAAAGCUCUUUUGUCAGGGAAGAAACGGUGAGAGCUAAUAUCUCUUGCUAAUGACGGUACCUGAAGAAUAAGCACCGGCUAACUACGUGCCAGCAGCCGCGGUAAUACGUAGGGUGCAAGCGUUAAUCGGAAUUACUGGGCGUAAAGCGUGCGCAGGCGGUUUUGUAAGUCUGAUGUGAAAUCCCCGGGCUCAACCUGGGAAUUGCAUUGGAGACCGCAAGGCUAGAAUCUGGCAGAGGGGGGUAGAAUUCCACGUGUAGCAGUGAAAUGCGUAGAUAUGUGGAGGAACACCGAUGGCGAAGGCAGCCCCCUGGGUCAAGAUUGACGCUCAUGCACGAAAGCGUGGGGAGCAAACAGGAUUAGAUACCCUGGUAGUCCACGCCCUAAACGAUGUCUACUAGUUGUCGGGUCUUAAUUGACUUGGUAACGCAGCUAACGCGUGAAGUAGACCGCCUGGGGAGUACGGUCGCAAGAUUAAAACUCAAAGGAAUUGACGGGGACCCGCACAAGCGGUGGAUGAUGUGGAUUAAUUCGAUGCAACGCGAAAAACCUUACCUACCCUUGACAUGGCUGGAAUCCCCGAGAGAUCAGGGAGUGCUCGAAAGAGAACCAGUACACAGGUGCUGCAUGGCUGUCGUCAGCUCGUGUCGUGAGAUGUUGGGUUAAGUCCCGCAACGAGCGCAACCCUUGUCAUUAGUUGCUACGAAAGGGCACUCUAAUGAGACUGCCGGUGACAAACCGGAGGAAGGUGGGGAUGACGUCAAGUCCUCAUGGCCCUUAUGGGUAGGGCUUCACACGUCAUACAAUGGUACAUACAGAGCGCCGCCAACCCGCGAGGGGGAGCUAAUCGCAGAAAGUGUAUCGUAGUCCGGAUUGUAGUCUGCAACUCGACUGCAUGAAGUUGGAAUCGCUAGUAAUCGCGGAUCAGCAUGUCGCGGUGAAUACGUUCCCGGGUCU